rnacentral:rRNA from 1 species
GACGAACGCUGGCGGCGUGCUUAACACAUGCAAGUCGAACGGAAAGGCUCUGCUUUUGUGGGGUGCUCGAGUGGCGAACGGGUGAGUAACACGUGAGUAACCUGCCCUUGACUUUGGGAUAACUUCAGGAAACUGGGGCUAAUACCGGAUAGGAGCUCCUGCUGCAUGGUGGGGGUUGGAAAGUUUCGGCGGUUGGGGAUGGACUCGCGGCUUAUCAGCUUGUUGGUGGGGUAGUGGCUUACCAAGGCUUUGACGGGUAGCCGGCCUGAGAUGGUGACCGGCCACGUUGGGACUGAGAUACGGCCCAGACUCCUACGGGAGGCAGCAGUGGGGAAGAUUGCACAAUGGGCGGAAGCCUGAUGCAGCAACGCCGCGUGCGGGAUGACGGCCUGCUGGUUGUAAAGCGCUUUCGCCUGGGACGAAGCGUGAGCGACGGUAAUGGGUGAAGAAGCACCGGCUAACUACGUG